rnacentral:lncRNA from 1 species
AUUUACAGCUGGAAGGGCAGACGGAGGCAUCUUGGUGUAUACACAGCCCUGCUGGGCCACAUCCCGGGUCUCCUCCCUCUGCGAUGCCAUAGCAGGGGCGCCUUCCGAAAGCCCUCUGGAUUGAGGCAGCAGGAUCUAUGGUGGAACCUGCCCCGGCGUCGCCAACGCCCCUAGGACCCCAGCACACUGACUGGGGAGCAUCCCUGUGUCGUUUCUGCCCGGAGAGGAGCAGAGGCCAGGCUGCUGCUCUGGGAGAUGAGACUUUCUGGUGCACCUGCACUUCCACAUGAGACUUCCGGGUGCACCUGCACUCCCAGAUGCAGACUUCCUGGUGCACCUGCACUUCCUGGUGCAGACUUCUUGGUUCAUCUGCAACUUCCUGGUGAGAAUCCCUUGGGCAUCUGCACUUCCUGAUGCACCUGCACUUCUAGUUAUUUUAGAGAAAACGUUCCCUGAACAUGCCACAUGCAGAGGAUGCUGGGUAUCAGGCUACCUUUGCUGGACAGCUCCAGAGGCUGAGUGCCAGGCUUCCUCUCCUGGGAAGAGCCUGCCGGCUUGCGGGCUGUCAGCGCUCACUGUGGGUGCGGGUGGCGUGCCUGCCUGCACGGCCCUUGCCUCUCUUAGUCUACAGGGUCUCCACUCCUGAGUUCCCGGAAACAAGAUACAGAUUUCAGAAUGGCACCUGAACAUUGUUUACUGAUUUCCGGCUGGAAGUGAGGGUCCGAGGGAUUCUUCUAUGGAAUUGUAUGACUCAGCAUCUUUCUGAUUGCAAGCAGCAGCAUCGCAGCCUAAAUGAAUCUAUUGGCUUCUUCAACAGACCAAUCCGGUGGACGUGGUGGCUUCGGGUGAGGGAUGCUCCAGGGGCUCUCCAUGAUGUCCCCAAGGUCCUUUAACCUCUGGGCACUGCUUCUGCAGGAUUGGCUUUGCUUAGGGUUGGUUCCCCUUCAUUCUUGAGCUGGUUGUGGGCAACUCCUGCCCCCUGUGGGGGGACUGGACUGCCUUAGAUCACAUGUGUGUCCCUGACUCUCUGUGGUCAGGGGAUAGAAUAUUCAGAUUGGAGGGGAGCCAGCUUCUCCUAAACCACGUGGAUCUCCAAACGGAAGUCAGAGCAGAUGGGAAGGGGGAGCAGACGUUGAGCUCAAUCAAUAAACACCCACCUUGGGAGCUGCAGCCUGGAGGGCUUGGUGACUGCCACGCUGGCUGCUCAGAGCUCCUCGCUUACUUUUGGGCAUAUGCCUGUGAACCAGAUGGUGGCACCUCCUGAAAAUCGGGUCUGUGGAUAAUGGGAGGAUUUUUUAAAUUAUGAAAAUGUUCAUUAUGGAAGAAUAAAUGAAGAAUAGCAUAUGAAAACCUGUAUCUCUCCCACUUAGGUUCAACAAUUAUUAGCAUAUUGCCAUGUAUGUUUCUCUCUUUCCUUCCUCUAAAGUUUUGCUGAGCAUUUCACAAUGAGUUUGAGGCACUGUGACACUUUGCUCCCAAUCCUUUCACUUGCAUGUGUUGAAAACAAGGACAUUUUCUACAGAACCACAAUACCUUGAUCACAUGUAAGGAAAUUAGGAAUCAGUUCUCAAAUACUAUCUAAUAUCCUGUCCAGGUUAAAAGUGCCCAGUGCUCCCUACAUCUCUCAUAGCUGUGACUUUGAACCAAGACUUAACCAAGUUUCACGCACUGCCUCACCUGUCUCUAAAACUAGAAAAGUUCCUGUUCCUUCCAGAUUGAAAGUUUUAGGUUAAAAAUAUAGUUUCUCGACAUUAUUUUCUUGACUUUUCCUCUUGAAGGGCUAUGUCUUGAAGAGCGCCCACAGUUUGAGUUCUUCUGUUUCUUCAUGACAGGCUCAGCUUGUUCCUCUGUCCCCCUGUCUUUUCUGUAUAUUGAAAUUUAGGUAUAAAUCCUUCAUAGGGAUUCACUUUAUGCUCCAUAAGUGAAGCUAUGUUCUUUGUACUGCUACGCUUUAUGCUGCUGUGCUUCAGGACCAUGUGACAGGUUAUUACAUUUGCUUUUUUGUCUCAUUUCCCAUCUUUUCCUCCAUCUUCUGAUCAUAAUUGAGCAUUUUAUUAUCCCAUUAUAUCUCCUCUAUUGACUUAUUGAUGCCUCUUUAAAAAACCUUUUAGAGGUAUUCUUCUG